rnacentral:rRNA from 1 species
UACGGGGGGGGCAAGCGUUGUUCGGAAUUACUGGGCGUAAAGGGUUCGUAGGUGGCCAACUAAGUCAUACGUGAAAUCCCUCAGCUUAACUGGGGAACUGCGUCUGAUACUGGUUGGCUUGAGUGCAGGAGAGGAACGCGGAAUUCCAGGUGUAGCGGUGAAAUGCGCAGAUAUCAGGAGGAACACCAGCGGCGAAGGCGGCGCUCUGGGCCGGAACUGACGCUGAGGAGCGAAAGCGUGGGGAGCAAACAGG